rnacentral:rRNA from 1 species
AGUGAACGCUGGCGGUAGGCCUAACACAUGCAAGUCGAACGGCAGCACAGUAAGAGCUUGCUCUUACGGGUGGCGAGUGGCGGACGGGUGUGGAAUCCAUCGGACUCUACUUUUUCGUGGGGGAUAACGUAGGGACACUUACGCUAAUACCGCAUACGACCUACGGGUGAAAGCAGGGGCUCUUCGGACCUUGCGAGCGUGAAUGCGCCGAUGUCGGAUUAGCUAGUUGGCGGGGUAAAGGCCCACCAAGGCGACGAUCCGUAGCUGGUCUGAGAGGAUGAUCAGCCACACUGGAACUGAGACACGGUCCAGACUCCUACGGGAGGCAGCAGUGGGGAAAAUUGGACAAUGGGCGCAAGCCUGAUGCAGCCAUACCGCGUGGGUGAAGAAGGCCUUCGGGUUGUAAAGCCCUUUUGUUGGGAAAGAAAAGCAGCAGGUUAAUACCCCGCUGUUCUGACGGUACCCAAAGAAUAAGCACCGGCUAACUUCGUG